UUCAUACUUCCUCCGUUCGGAAAUACUUGUCCUCAAAAUGGAUAAAAUGGAUGUAUCUAUAAGUCUAGAUAUAACCAUUUCGAGCACAAGUAUUUCCGGACGGAGGGAGUAGAAG
rfam:Triticum aestivum genome assembly, contig: Triticum_aestivum_CS42_TGACv1_scaffold_146134_2BS